UAACCACCAGGCUACCCUGCCACCCCAACGCUCUAACCACCAGGCUACCUGCCGCCCCAACGCUCUAACCACUAGGCUACCCUGCCACCCCAACGCUCUAACCACUAGGCUACCCUGCCACCCCAACGCUCUAACCACUAGGCUACCUGCCGCCCCAACGCUCUAACCACUAGGCUACCCUGCCACCCCAACGCUCUAACCACCAGGCUACCCUGCCGCCCCAACGCUCUAGCCACCAGGCUACCCUGCCGCCCCAACGCUCUAACCACCAGGCUACCCUGCCGCCCCAACGCUCUAACCACCAGGCUACCCUACCGCCCCAACGCUCUAACCACUAGGCUACCCUGCCGCCUCUACACUCUAACCACUAGGCUACCCUGCCGCCCCAACGCUCUAACCACUAGGCUACCCUGCCGCCCCAACGCUCUAACCACCAGGCUACCCUGCCACCCCAACGCUCUAACCACCAGGCUACCCUGCCGCCCCAACGCUCUAACCACCAGGCUACCCUGCCACCCUGCAUGUUUAAUUUGUAUUUUUGCCUUUAUGAUGAUGAUCGGGACCUGUUAACGGUUUAAUUUAGUAAAAAAUAAAAUAAAACAGUUUUCGGUUAGACAUGUUUUCUAAACAUUAAUGAUCCCAAAUGCGUUUAAAUGUUCAAAUGUCUCAACCUUAGUUAGGGGGCCCCCCUAGAUUUGACUCCAAAUCCAAUAUGGCUGCCACAUUACCAUUAAAUGGUGCUUUAAUUCUUGAAAAUCUAAGCUGACAUAUGGUAUUGUUUUAAGAAGGCCAUACCAUGGAUCAUUUAGCUAUUUGAUAUUGAAUUGUAGGACCCCUGAUGAAAUAUUGAAUUUGGCCUUUACUACUGUAGCCCAUAGAAAUACAGUAAAAAAAGGUUUUGAAGUGUCUGUCCUAUAGCCAGGAGAUACUGUAUAAGAACGCUCAGGAAAUAUAUAUACACUACCAUUCAAAAGUUUGGGGUCACUUAGAAAUGUCCUUGUUUUUGAAAGAAAAGCGAAAAAAAUUGUCCAUUUAAAAUAACAUCAAAUUGAUCAGAAAUACAGUUUAGACAUUAAUGUUGUAAAUGACUACUGUAGCUGGAAACAGCUGAUUUAAAAUUAAAAUAAAUGAAUAUCUAUGUAGGCGUACAGAGGCCAUCACUCCUGUGUUCCAAUGGCACAUUGUGUUAGCUAAUCCAAGUUUAUCAUUUUAAAAGGCUAAUUCAUCAUUAGAAAAC
ensembl:lncRNA